rnacentral:lncRNA from 10 species
ACAGAAAGACAUGUAGCCGCACAUUCAUAAUUCCUCCAAUUGGGAAGCCUAGCGUCAUCAAGGCAGAUGAAUAUCGUGGAGUAUUCGGGCUUAGGAGCACGACAAACGGAACAGGAGUGAAUGAUCCGCAACUCACAUAACGGGGUGUCUUAUAAGUUUGAAGUUUGCAGAGAGCCCAGGAAAGCUUACCAAGGGGACCAGCAUGCUCACGCCUCUGAGGUUAAGGAGGCCCCUCAGGAAGAGGUGACAUGCGACUGGCCAGUGAAAGGCAUCCACCAUCCAUGAUGGGCCCUUGACCUCGCCCACUCCACACCGACCCUAGGACUUGGAAGACACAAGGAACUCAUGUGAACACCAUGCUUAAACUGCAGCUAUUAUUUUACUGCAACUAA